UUAUCGGAGAGUUUGAUCCUGGCUCAGGACGAACGCUGGCGGCGUGCCUAAUACAUGCAAGUCGAGCGGACAGAUGGGAGCUUGCUCCCUGAUGUUAGCGGCGGACGGGUGAGUAACACGUGGGUAACCUGCCUCUAAGACUGGGAUAACUCCGGACAACCGGGGCUAACACCGGAUGCUUGUUUGAACCGCAUGGUUCAGAAAUAAAAGGUGGCUGACGCUACCACUUACAGAUGGACCCUCGCGCCAUCAGCACGUUGGUGAGGUAACAGCCCACCAAAGCGAACAACCGUAGC
rnacentral:rRNA from 1 species